GACGGACGCUGGCGGCGUGCUUAACACAUGCAAGUCGAACGGUGAAAGCGGAGCUUGCUCCGCUGGAUCAGUGGCGAACGGGUGAGUAACACGUGGGCAACCUGCCCCUCACUUCGGGAUAACUCCGGGAAACCGGGGCUAAUACCGGAUAUGACCUCCUUGGGCAUCCUUGGAGGUGGAAAGUUUUUCGGUGAGGGAUGGGCCCGCGGCCUAUCAGCUUGUUGGUGAGGUAGUGGCUCACCAAGGCGACGACGGGUAGCCGGCCUGAGAGGGCGACCGUCCACACUGGGACGGAGACACGGCCCAGACUCAUACGGGAGGCAGCAGCGAAGAAUAUUGGGACAUGGAGGAAACUCUGACCCAGCCAUGCCGCGUGAAUGAAGAAGGCCUUCGGGUUGUAAAGUUCUUUUAGUCGUGGCGAUGAUGACGGUAGCGACAGAAAAAGCACCGGCUAACUUCGUGCCAGCAGCCGCCGUAA
rnacentral:rRNA from 1 species